UCCGGAUGGUGCACGCGUUGUUCGGAAUUAUUGGGCGUAAAGCGCGUGCAGGCGGUCGGGUAAGUCAGAUGUGAAAGCCUUCCGCUUAACGGAAGAAGUGCAUUUGAAACUGCUCGGCUAGAGUACGGGAGAGGAGAGUGGAAUUCCCGGUGUAGAGGUGAAAUUCGUAGAUAUCGGGAGGAACACCAGUGGCGAAGGCGGCUCUCUGGUCCGAUACUGACGCUGAGGCGCGAAAGCGGGGGGAGCAAACAGGAUGAGAUAACCCCGUAGUCC
rnacentral:rRNA from 1 species